rnacentral:rRNA from 1 species
AUGCUCACAGGGAAGCGUCCAACUGACGAGAUGUUUAAAGAUGGCCUGAGCCUUUACAAAUUUGUGGAAGAUUCAUUUCCGAAAAAGAUUUGUGAGAUUCUAGAUCCUAGAAUCAUCAUCCCCUAUUAUGGGAACCGAGAUGAAGAAGAAGCGGGCAAUUCUUCAGAUCCGGAAAAUCAUCAAAUUGCUGCUGGAAUAAUGGGCUGCAUCAGGGCUCUUGCUAAGCUUGGCCUGCUGUGUGCUGUGGAGACGCCUAAAGAUCGCCCAGCAAUGCAGGACGUCUACACUGAUGCCAUCACAAUCAAAGAAGCAUUUUCAGCACUGCAGGGCUGA